UCAGCACGGAGACGGGGCACGCCACGCGGGAGGCAGCCUGCAAGGAGUCACAGGUGAGAACACGAGGCCCUGACCGCCUGGCCCGAAAGCAGCUGUGGGCAGCACUGACCUGAGCACCCACUGUGUGCCGGCCCCUCCUCUAAGCACCCUGCCCGGAGUCCCUCAUGUAAUCUGCACACGUGACCCACGAGGAAGCAGCCACUAUGCGUUACAGACAAGCCUUCGGCAGGACAAUCUGAAGCAGAAAAGAUGUCCACAAACCAGUCCCUGC